rnacentral:rRNA from 1 species
UAGCGGAGGGGCUAGCGUUGUUCGGAAUUACUGGGCGUAAAGCGCGUGUAGGUGGCGAUGUAAGUCGGAUGUGAAAAUCCCUCGGCUUAACCGAGGAAGUGCAUUCGAUACUGUGUCGCUUGAGUAUCGGAGGGUCGGCGGAAUUCCCGAUGUAGAGGUGAAAUUCGUAGAUAUCGGGAGGAACACCUGUGGCGAAGGCGGCCGACUGGACGAUUACUGACACUGAGACGCGAAAGCGUGGGUAGCAAACAGG